rnacentral:rRNA from 1 species
UACGUAGGGGGCGAGCGUUGUCCGGAUUCAUUGGGCGUAAAGAGCUCGUAGGCGGCUUGUUGCGUCGGCUGUGAAAUCCCAUGGCUCAACUGUGGGCUUGCAGCCGAUACGGGCGGGCUAGAGUUCGGUAGGGGAGACUGGAAUUCCGUGGUGUAGCGGUGAAAUGCGCAGAUAUCUGGAGGAACACCGGUGGCGAAGGCGGCAUCCUGGACCGAGAUUGACGCUGAGGCGCGAAAGCCAGGGGAGCAAAGCGGG